rnacentral:lncRNA from 1 species
CCUUCCUCAGAGGGGCCUCAGUGACCACCCCCUCCAAAAAUGGUAUUCUCUCCCCCAUUACCCUGCUUUGCUUUCUUCAUAGCUGGUGACAUUACCUGAGGAUAUGACACAGCUGUUCACCUGCAUUACUGCCUCUUUCCCACUAGAAAAGUCCCAAAAGCUGGAACUUUUCCUACUUCAUUUACUGUUUUAAAACCAGCUCCUAUGGCAGUGCCUGGCACAGAGUGGGCACUCAGAUAUUAGUUGAAUGACUGAGUGAUGGCAUGAGUACCCACUGGAGUGUCCCUUCCCAUCACAAUCAUGCAUGACCCUCUGUGGUCACAAAGCCCUGGUCUCACUGGUACCAAAAGCUGGAUGCCCUGGCCAGGGUGGCUGGGGACAGGAGGCCUGAGUUGAGAAUGACUGGAUGAGCCAGUGAGGGGCUAAGGGUGGAGCCCCAACACCAGAUCUACACCUACUGUCUGUGGGGCCUGGAAGGCAGCUGACCCUUGGUGAGCCUCAGUUUGCUCACUGAGAAAGACACCCUGCCCAACUGUUGCAUAGACUGAAAAUGCAAAGUGCACAAGAGUCUCUGGCCAGGACAGGCAUUGAAGGUCAGCUUGUUCUCCUCCUGGAGCUCAGCUCUGUGAUCAGGAAACCAAUUGUAAAGUCCAGAAUGAGGACACGGGCUCUACAUGGUGUGGAAUGGCAGUGAGACGGGCUAGGACUUCAGAACUCAACUGAUCACACACAGGAGGGAGAAGAACAACCAAGCUGGGCUUCAAGAUGCCUUAUUUGGACACUAGUUUUUGAUGUGUCUCUGAUGGUUAUUAACCAGACAUUUCAAGGGCAAGAAACUAUUUCCCCAAAACUACCUUUUGAGACAUUUCCAGAGGCUGCCCUGUCCUCUCUGUCCAGAGACUCAGCCCCGACUCAC